UACGGCCGCAUCACUUUGAAGCGCAGGUUCCCUUACAAUCAUCGAAGUUAAGCAACGUCGAUCCUGGUCAGUACCUAGUUAAGGUGACCGCUUGGGAAGAUCAGGUGCUGUAAG